rnacentral:lncRNA from 1 species
AGAUUAUAAUAGCUUUGAAACAAUGAUAAUGAAAGUUUUUUCAUCGUUCUAAAUUUAUGCUACAGUUAUGGUCGUAAAAGAUUAAGAAAAAUCUUAUGGGUGCAAUUAUUCCUCUGACACCUGCGAAAUUACCAAAAGAACUGACCAUCGCUGUUUAUUGUAUUUUUUUAAAUGUUCUAGUUAAACAAUCUAUCACUUAA